rnacentral:rRNA from 1 species
GACGAACGCUGGCGGCGUGCUUAACACAUGCAAGUCGAACGAUGAAGCCGGAGCUUGCUCUGGUGAAUUAGUGGCGAACGGGUGAGUAACACGUGAGUAACCUGCCCUUGACUCUGGGAUAACUGCGGGAAACUGUAGCUAAUACCGGAUACGACCCUCGGAGGCAUCUCCUGGGGGUGGAAAGAAUUUCGGUCAAGGAUGGACUCGCGGCCUAUCAGCUAGUUGGUGAGGUAAAGGCUCACCAAGGCGACGACGGGUAGCCGGCCUGAGAGGGUGACAGGCCACACGGGGACUGAGACACGGCCCAGAGUCCUACGGGAGGCAGCAGUGGGGAAUAGUGCACAAUGGGCGCAAGCCUGAUGCAGCAACGCCGCGUGAGGGAUGACGGCCUUCGGGUUGUAAACCUCUUUUAGCAGGGAAGAAGCGAAAGUGACGGUACCUGCAGAGAAAGCACCGGCUAACUACGUGCCAGCCGCCGCCGUAA